GCUGGGCGUGGUGGCUCAUGCCUGUAAUCCUAGCACUUUGGGAGGCCGAGGUGGGCGGAUCACCUGAGGUCAGGAGUUCGAGACCAGCCUGGCCAACACGGUGAAACCCCAUCUCUA
rnacentral:SRP_RNA from 1 species